GACGAACGCUGGCGGCGUGCUUAACACAUGCAAGUCGAACGGAAAGGCCCUGCUUUUGUGGGGUGCUCGAGUGGCGAACGGGUGAGUAACACGUGAGUAACCUGCCCUUGACUUUGGGAUAACUUCAGGAAACUGGGGCUAAUACCGGAUAGGAGCUCCUGCUGCAUGGUGGGGGUUGGAAAGUUUCGGCGGUUGGGGAUGGACUCGCGGCUUAUCAGCUUGUUGGUGGGGUAGUGGCUUACCAAGGCUUUGACGGGUAGCCGGCCUGAGAGGGUGACCGGCCACAUUGGGACUGAGAUACGGCCCAGACUCCUACGGGAGGCAGCAGUGGGGAAUAUUGCACAAUGGGCGGAAGCCUGAUGCAGCAACGCCGCGUGCGGGAUGACGGCCUUCGGGUUGUAACCGCUUUCGCCUGUGACGAAGCGUGAGUGACGGUAAUGGGGAAAGAAGCACCGGCUAACUACGU
rnacentral:rRNA from 1 species